ensembl:lncRNA
AUAUUGGGCCCACCUGGAUAAUUUGGCUAGUCUCCCCAUUUCUAGAUCCUUAAAUUAACCACAUCUGCAAAGUUCUUUUUGCCAAGUAAGGUAACAUAUUCACAGCUUCAAGGAACUAGGAUGCGGACAUCUUUGUCGGCCCAUUUCUCUCUCUACCACCGUUCCAUUAGAGCAGAUAAGGAGAAAACAGUGACUGAAGCCUUCCUGAUAUUUUGACUUCCCCUAUGGAUUGGAGAUUGGCUUCCUGGCACCUGCUGGACAGGCUUGACAUUUAAAACAGAGCUUCUCUCUGGAACCCAAAGUACAGCCAAUCCUCUGUUCAUCUGAAAAUAAUCCAUCUCCUUAGCUCUAAGACCUUGAGCUCAAAGAGAAUACAUUAUUUGAGAAAAAAAAAAAAUGAAACAAAGAAGAGAAAUUAAAUCUCUCCCUGCCCUUCAUGGCUUCUAACUUCAGCUUCCAGUUUUUUUCCCAAAAUAACUUCAACAUCUAGCAAAUUGACAGGAGUUCUCAGUAGCUGAGGCAAUGGUGGCUAUUAAUUGAGGUAAUUCAACUUCUCGCUUAAAACACAAUAAGAGGGGCCGGGCCAGUGGCACAGCGGUUAAGUGCGCACCUUCCCCUUCGGUGGCCUGGGGUUCGCUGGUUCGGAUCCCGGGUGCGGACAUGGCACCGCUUGGCACGCCAUGCUGUGGCAGGCAUCCCACGUAUAAAGUAGAGGAUGAUGGGCAAGGAUGUUAGCUCAGGGCCAGCCUUCCUCAGCAAAAAGAGGAGGAUUGGCAGCAGUUAACUCAGGGCUAAUCUUCCUCAAAAAAAAAAAAAAAAAAAAACCACUAAGAAAAAACAGAACAAAGACAAUUAGGGAAAUUGGAUCUAAAAUUAAUCCCAAAUCCUCAUCAGAAAUGAAAGAUCAUUUAAUAGGUGAAAAUAGAGCUUGCAGGGAUAAGAUUUCUGAGGGCACGUUACAUGUAAAGCUAUGGCCCUGGGGGUGGGGGUGCAAAGAGAACAGAAAGGGAAGGGCCUCCUUUGGAAGAAUCGUGAUGAAAGGAAAAAGAAUAAGUGGGAAAAGUCAGGAUAAUUCAGGGCAAAAGAUAUUUAAAAAAAAUCAAAAGGCACACAACCUGUCUCCCAUUUCUUCACUCCUCCUUAAGAAAAAUCUAGUGAAAACCUUAUUUUGUAACAGAGACAGAAGUCGGUGAUUUUGAACCAAGAUUCUUAGGAAACACAAAUCGCCAGUCCUGCCCACAAAGACGCAGCAAAUCAAACAGUCCUCUUCUUUGAAAACCGUGACAAACUUUAAAUAAAAAUGUGACACUAUACAAUUCAGCUGGCAAAAGUUUUCCCCGAAGAAACAAAACGGUGGUGAGGCAGAAGAAAACUGCAACAUGACACUUGAAAUUUAAUUAACUAUCUUAAACCAAACAUUUGUGGACAUGAAACAUUGUCUUGAAUCAGAAGUUCAAAAUAUAAAACAUUAUGUCAAAAAAAGCGAGAAGAAAUAAAGCAAUUGAUUGAACCAAGGAAAGAAAUGAAAGGACUGAUAAAAUCUGGUUAUACAAGCUGACCAGGGAAGAAUAAAUUUGAAGAAAACAUAAAAUAUAAUACAGAGAGAUAGAUGUGUAGGCAGGUGAAAGAAAGAGAGAAGGCAGAAAGGAAGGAAGGAAGGGAGAGAGGGAAAGAGAGAGAAAGAAACUAAUAAAACAAAUGGAUAAAAUGUUAACAACAGGUGCAUCUUGGUAAAGGGUACAUGGUGUUAUCUGUACUAUUUUUGUUUUUGCAACCUUUUUAAAAUUUGAAAUUAUUACCAAGUACAAAAUUUAAUACGCAUAUCACAUUGGAGAGUUAUAAGAAAGACGUAAGACACUGCCCUUUAGAACUCGUAAUCAAGGGGGUUAGAGCCACGGAAAAUUUUAACUAUAACACUUUCAAUCCUUGAAUAUCAUUCUUUACCCAGUCACAAGUUCUCUUCUGUUAACAAUUAAUAUUCUUUCACAUAGUUUUAAAAUAGUGAUCUUUCAGUAAACGUACUCCUUCAAGAAUAUAGCCAUUGAUACUUUUACUUUAAAAAUCCCUAUUCUCAGAGCCGGCCCCAUGGCUGAGUGGUUAAUUUCAAGUGCUCAGCUUCUUCAGCCCAGGGUUUAGCCGAUUGGGAUCCUGGGCACAGACGUGGCACCACUCGUCAGGCCAUGCUGAGGUGGCAUCACUCAUGGCACAACCAGAAGGACCUGGAGUUAGAAUAUACAACUAUGUACUGGGGGGUCUUUGGGGAGAAGAAGAAGAAGAAAAAAUCCCAUUCUCCAUUGUGAAUUAUCUAUUUAUAUAUUUUGUCUGUUUGAUUGUUGGUUUGACUUGAAUGUUUAUAAGUGAUUUGUAAAUAUUUUUAUAUGUCAAAAAUGGUUUUAAAAAGAAAAAAUUAUAAGGGUUAUGGAAUAAAAGCAGGAUUAGAAAAACAAGGAAAUUUAAAAGAUAUAAAAAUAAUAAAAGUCAGAGAGAAAUGUUUAGAAUGGAAGACAGGAAAAGAAGAAAUCAUAUGUUUAAUAGGAAUUUUUAAGCAAGCAAAACAAAACAGACAUAUUCUGAUUGUGAAUAAAAUGGUUUGUUAUUCUGCAACUGCGGUAACCUGCUUACUUUGCAUUGAAUAGAACUUAGUGUCACAGCUACACCUAGCUCCAAGGGAGGACAGACGACGCUGUUUUCCUUCUAAGCAUUUUUGUACCAAGCUGAGCACGGGGAGUGCAGUGACCAAGAAGAAAAUGGCAAAUAGAUCCAAAUAAAUGGAAAACAAAUACCAUCUGAUAGUGUAUGAUUAAAUUAGAUUAAAAGUGUAUCUUUGUAGUCCCAGAACAAGCAGCAAAACCUUCUACCCCACUUGCUGUUUGACUUGCAGUCUGGAGACAGUGCUUAUCUCUUUCAGCUCUAAUGUAAAAAUAUAUAGAAGACUUUUUAAUUUAUUCAGCAGUCUACUAUUGCAAUACAAUGUAGAUUGUUCAAAUUAAGCUUGACUGGGCAGAUAAUCUUUGAAAACUCCCUCCCCUUGUCUAUAUAACUUUAUGAUUUCUCUUUCAAUCUUUUAAACUUAAAGGUUUAAGGGGACAAAAUUACUCUGCCUUGAACCUGCAAGUGAUAACUUCUAGCAGAUAGGGUACCCAUCAAUGUCAUUGAUGUCUUUUAAAAGAGUGAAAAUGUUGACCUGUGUUCCCAUGAAUGUUCCUCCAGCCAUCCAGCUUCAUGUGAAGAAAAUAUACUUCCAACCUGUAUAUUGCUUCUGAUAAAACAGCAAACCUCCAGGGCUCUGGGGGGUUUAGUUGAUACAACAGUUCUUUAAAGAUGUUCCUGAGGAGAGACCAUUCGGAUCAUCUGUCUUGAUAUCACCUGUUAUCCAUUUCUAUUCUGAUUCUUCACAUU